rnacentral:rRNA from 1 species
CAUGCAAGUCGAGCGAAGCGGUUUCGAUGAAGUUUUCGGAUGGAUUUGAAAUUGACUUAGCGGCGGACGGGUGAGUAACGCGUGGGUAACCUGCCUUACACUGGGGGAUAACAGUUAGAAAUGACUGCUAAUACCGCAUAAGCGCACAGGGCCGCAUGGUCCGGUGUGAAAAACUCCGGUGGUGUAAGAUGGACCCGCGUCUGAUUAGGUAGUUGGUGGGGUAACGGCCCACCAAGCCGACGAUCAGUAGCCGACCUGAGAGGGUGACCGGCCACAUUGGGACUGAGACACGGCCCAAACUCCUACGGGAGGCAGCAGUGGGGAAUAUCGGACAAUGGGCGAAAGCCUGAUCCAGCGACGCCGCGUGAGUGAAGAAGUAUUUCGGUAUGUAAAGCUCUAUCAGCAGGGAAGAAAAUGACGGUACCUGACUAAGAAGCCCCGGCUAACUACGUGCCAGCAGCCGCGGUAAUACGUAGGGGGCAAGCGUUAUCCGGAUUUACUGGGUGUAAAGGGAGCGUAGACGGUUUAGCAAGUCUGAAGUGAAAGCCCGGGGCUCAACCCCGGUACUGCUUUGGAAACUGUUAGACUUGAGUGCAGGAGAGGUAAGUGGAAUUCCUAGUGUAGCGGUGAAAUGCGUAGAUAUUAGGAGGAACACCAGUGGCGAAGGCGGCUUACUGGACUGUAACUGACGUUGAGGCUCGAAAGCGUGGGGAGCAAACAGGAUUAGAUACCCUGG